CGGGUUUUUACUCCUGGAUGUUACCGGUUCGCCCAGCCGAAGCCGGACGGGUUUUGGUGUCUGAUUCGGUACGAAUCGGGAGCACCUCUGCGUAGGCCUGAAGAAGCGAACUCCAACGGUUUAAGGCUUGCGCCGCCUACGGUCUUGGAUAGCCCCCGCCAGGCAGGGACCCCAAUUUUGCGCCGCCCCGGCAGCCGGAGCG
rnacentral:sRNA from 1 species